rnacentral:rRNA from 1 species
UGGCGGACGGGUGAGUAAUGUCUGGGAAACUGCCUGAUGGAGGGGGAUAACUACUGGAAACGGUGGCUAAUACCGCAUAACGUCGCAAGACCAAAGAGGGGACCUUAGGGCCUCUUGCCAUCGGAUGUGCCCAGAUGGGAUUAGCUAGUAGGUGGGGUAACGGCUCACCUAGGCGACGAUCCCUAGCUGGUCCGAGAGGAUGACCAGCCACACUGGAACUGAGACACGGUCCAG